CAAGGCGACGAUUGGUAGCCGGACUGAGAGGAUGAACGGCCACAUUGGGACUGAGACACGGCCCAGACUCCUACGGGAGGCAGCAGUGGGGGAUAUUGCACAAUGGGGGAAACCCUGAUGCAGCGACGCCGCGUGGAGGAAGAAGGUUUUCGGAUUGUAAACUCCUGUCGUUAGGGACGAUAAUGACGGUACCUAACAAGAAAGCACCGGCUAACUACGUGCCAGCAGCCGCGGUAAAACGUAGGGUGCAAGCGUUGUCCGGAAUUACUGGGUGUAAAGAGAGCGCAGGCGGGAAGACAAGUUGGAAGUGAAAACCAUGGGCUCAACCCAUGAAUUGCUUUCAAAACUGUUUUUCUUGAGUAGUGCAGAGGUAGAUGGAAUUCCCGGAGUAGCGGUGGAAUGCGUACAUAUCGGGAGGAACACCAGU
rnacentral:rRNA from 1 species